GAAGGCUAUGUUGGCCGGGCGACGGUUGUCCCGGUUUAAGCGUGUAGGUGUGUGUUCCAGGUAAAUCCGGUUCACUUUAACACUGAGGCGUGACGACGAGGCACUACGGUGCUGAAGCAACAAAUGCCCUGCUUCCAGGAAAAGCCUCUAAGCAUCAGGUAACAUCAAAUCGUACCCCAAACCGACACAGGUGGUCAGGUAGAGAAUACCAAGGCGCUUGAGAGAACUCGGGUGAAGGAACUAGGCAAAAUGGUGCCGUAACUUCGGGAGAAGGCACGCUGACACGUAGGUGAAGUGAUUUACUCAUGGAGCUGAAGUCAGUCGAAGAUACCAGCUGGCUGCAACUGUUUAUUAAAAACACAGCACUGUGCAAACACGAAAGUGGACGUAUACGGUGUGACGCCUGCCCGGUGCCGGAAGGUUAAUUGAUGGGGUCAGCGCAAGCGAAGCUCCUGAUCGAAGCCCCGGUAAACGGCGGCCGUAACUAUAACGGUCCUAAGGUAGCGAAAUUCCUUGUCGGGUAAGUUCCGACCUGCACGAAUGGCGUAAUGAUGGCCAGGCUGUCUCCACCCGAGACUCAGUGAAAUUGAACUCGCUGUGAAGAUGCAGUGUACCCGCGGCAAGACGGAAAGACCCCGUGAACCUUUACUAUAGCUUGACACUGAACAUUGAGCCUUGAUGUGUAGGAUAGGUGGGAGGCUUUGAAGUGUGGACGCCAGUCUGCAUGGAGCCGACCUUGAAAUACCACCCUUUAAUGUUUGAUGUUCUAACGUGGACCCGUAAUCCGGGUUGCGGACAGUGUCUGGUGGGUAGUUUGACUGGGGCGGUCUCCUCCUAAAGAGUAACGGAGGAGCACGAAGGUUGGCUAAUCCUGGUCGGACAUCAGGAGGUUAGUGCAAUGGCAUAAGCCAGCUUGACUGCGAGCGUGACGGCGCGAGCAGGUGCGAAAGCAGGUCAUAGUGAUCCGGUGGUUCUGAAUGGAAGGGCCAUCGCUCAACGGAUAAAAGGUACUCCGGGGAUAACAGGCUGAUACCGCCCAAGAGUUCAUAUCGACGGCGGUGUUUGGCACCUCGAUGUCGGCUCAUCACAUCCUGGGGCUGAAGUAGGUCCCAAGGGUAUGGCUGUUCGCCAUUUAAAGUGGUACGCGAGCUGGGUUUAGAACGUCGUGAGACAGUUCGGUCCCUAUCUGCCGUGGGCGCUGGAGAACUGAGGGGGGCUGCUCCUAGUACGAGAGGACCGGAGUGGACGCAUCACUGGUGUUCGGGUUGUCAUGCCAAUGGCACUGCCCGGUAGCUAAAUGCGGAAGAGAUAAGUGCUGAAAGCAUCUAAGCACGAAACUUGCCCCGA
rnacentral:rRNA from 1 species